ACUUGAAUAUUAGAAGUUAUGGACUUUAAAUUCAAAGAAUUUGGCGGUAUUUUAGUCUUGUUAGAGGAACCUGUUCUGUAAGUGAUACUACACGUAGAAUCUUGCUUGCUUUUGUUUUCAGCUUGUAUACCGUCAUUAUUAGAUAACCUUUAUUGAGAAAGUUAUCGUACUAUAAAAAAUUAAAUAUAUUAGAUCAAGGUGCAGUUUAUAGGUAAGUAGAAAUGGGUUACAAUGAAAUUAAUUUAGACGUAUUAGUAAUUGAAAAAUUAUUAUGAAGGAGGAUUUAAUUGUAAUGUAAAUUUAAUAAGUUUAUAUGAUAUGAGAACUAGAAUAUGUACAUAU
rnacentral:rRNA from 1 species